UACGUAGGGUGCAAGCGUUAUCCGGAAUUAUUGGGCGUAAAGAGCGCGUAGGUGGUUUGAAAAGUUGCCCGUUAAAUCUUCAAGCUCAACUUGGAGCAUGCGGGCAAAACUUUCAGACUCGAGGAUAGCAGGGGCAAGUGGAAUUCCCGGUGUAGGAGUGAAAUCCGUUGAUAUCGGGAGGAACACCAAUGGCGAAGGCAGCUUGCUAGGCUAUAUCUGACACUGAGGCGCGAAAGCGUGGGGAG
rnacentral:rRNA from 1 species